rnacentral:lncRNA from 1 species
GUAUUAGCUAAAAACUAUGUGGACCUAGCCCUUAUCAUUAAAAUAAAACACUCAAGGGUUUACAAACUAUUGAAAUUUAAGAAAAUGUCUUUGCAAUGAAUGCUACUAAGACUCACUGUUAUUAAGUACAUACAUAUCAAUUCCAUAAACUCAAUGGAAAACAUUUUACUGUGCUUGUAAAAAGAAGUGACUCAUAAACAGGAAUUCUGUCAUUUUAUCACUUUCAUGAUAGAAUGAUGUGUAGAAUUUGUUUUACAAUGCUCCAGAAAUAAAAUGUAGGGAAUGGAAAGAAGAUAGGUGAAAGAAAAGUGGUGCAACAUCAGUCAGUGUUGAAGCUAAGUUCAUUUUGCUACUUUACCUACUCAUGCAUAUGUUGGAAAAUUUACAAAAUGAAAAGCUAAAAGGAGAGAGAGCAUCUUCAGCAUGAAAGACAGCCAUUACCAAAGCAUUUCCUAUCUUUAACAAAAACUGAAGUCUUAGCCUUCAGACUAAGGAUGGUAGGAAGAAAGUAGCAAGGAAGUAUGGGACUGACCUUGCCGUAAGGAGUCACAGACCAGGGUAAGGGACCUGUUGCUGUCAGACCAUGAUUGGCAUCUUAGCCCUGACACUUCCUAGCCAUGUGAUUUGGGGCUAAAACUAGUCCACACCAAAGUUCUCUUAAAAUGCGGGUAGUAAUAGAACCUGCUCCAAAAGGUGGCUGUGAAGAUUAUAUGAGAUAAGAAUAAUGCCUAGCACAUAUUCUAACUCAAAAAGCUUACAUAUUAGGUUGGUGCAAACAUAAUUGUGGUUUUUGCCACAAUAUUGCCAACACUAAUAUUAUUAUUUGGAGGCAACAAUACGCUGUAAUGUCUAUUUUUCUUAUACUAAAGUUAACUUCACUUAGCAUGAUACACAAUGCCUCUCACAGCCCAGCUUCAGUUUUGCCCACUUUACAUUCCACUAUUCCCAGAGUUCCCUGUGUCCUAGUAACACAAAGCUACUCCCCAUUCCCAAAGCACAUUGUGUACUUCAGUGUCUCCUUGCUCCUUCAUUCUGAUUAGAACACUCUUCUCCAGUUGUCCAGUGAAUCAUUCAGUCUCUGUCAUGUAGUCCACACUGUACCUCUGAUAGCUCAUGCAGAAUGAGCUGCUGUCUCUUCUCAGAUCCAAUUGCUCUUCUGUAUAACUGAUAUGGUUUGGCUCUGUGUCCCCAUCCAAAUCACAUUUUGUAGCUCCCCUAAUUCCCACGUGUUGUGGGAGGGACCCCAUGGGAGAUAAUUGAAUCAUGGGGGCGGGUCUUUCCCAUGUUGUUCUCGUGAUAGUGAAUAAGUCUCAUGAGAUCUGAUGGUUUUAAAAAUGGUAAUUUCCCUGCACAAGCUGUCUCUCUUUUGGCCUGCUGCCAUCCGCGUAAGACAUGACUUACUCCUCCGUGCCUUCCACCAUGAUUGUGAGGCUUCCCCAGCCAUGAGGAACUAAUACCCAUCCCAUAGAUGUACUUGGGAUAGACAGCUUCUGGCACUCCUCCCAAGAUCUCUCCCUCCUGGUUACAAAAACCUGAGACUUCCAUUUUGCUGGAAACUUCUUUUCCUCUUGCACACUCACUCUGCGACUCUGUGUGGAGAGCUCCAUGUGACAAGGGAGGUCUGCAGCCUAAGCAACUGAGACCUCAGCCCAACAGCCCUCAAAGAACUGGAUCUUCAAACAACCACAUGAGUGACCUAGAAGCAAAUCUGUCACCAGUGCUCUUGAGACGGGCUGAAGUAUUUAAUCACCGGCACAAAAUGUCCCAGUGUUCUGUUCUCCUGCUGUGGAAAUUUUAGAGAAAAGAUCAUGAUCUAAGAGUCUACAAGACCAGAGCAGCCUGAAUUGCUGAGCUGCCUGGUGGAGAAUAGCAGCAUUGGGUGGUUCCCAGGAUUCUUAAAAGGACUUUACAAAGGCCUGGCCUAAUCACUUAAGAGCUCUUAAGGAGUGAAUGGGCUCUUCCUGAAAAAAGAGCUUCUGCUAACCCUGAAAAGCAAGCAACAACCCUGUGAACUGCUAUGGAGAGAGAUGGCCUCUAACAGCUGAGGACCUCAGUCCUACAACCACAAGAAACUGAUUUCUGCCAACAACAUGAAUGAACUUGGAAAAGGCCCCUGAGCUCCAGAUGAGAACACCCAGGUCAACUCAGGUCAUGAGCAGAGAACCCUGUUAUAUUCUCCUUGGCUUGUGAUCCAUAAACAAUGAGAUUAUAAAUGUGUGGUUUUUAAGCCAUUAGGUUUGUGGUAACUUGUUACACAAGCCUCUUUUAGAUUCUUUACAUACACAAAUAUAUUCUAAACGAAUAAUGAGUCUUCCUUUCCCAUCUUUAUACCAUUUACUUCUUAUUCUUCCCUUACCGCUUUAAGACCUCUAGUAUAAAGUUGACUAGAAAAGGUGGUAGUGGCAUUAUUGUGUAGUUCUUUAUAUCAAAGGGAAGAUUUUCAAUGUUUUCAUGUUAAGUAUGACAUUUACUGUAGGUUUUUCAUAGAUGCUCUUUAAUCAGUUUAAGCAAUUCUUGUCUAUCCCUAGAAUUAUUGUCAGGAAUAAAUGUUGACUUUUAUCGAACACUGUUUCUGCACCUUUUAAAAAUAUCAUAUUUUUUCCUUCAAAUGGUUACUGUGUUGAAUUAUAUUAGCAGACAUUCUAAUGUUAAAGUAACCUAUCAUUCCAGAGAAAAGGAGGUGAGAAUAGCAGUUUAGUUAUGAUGCUGUAUCCCUUUUAUAAAUUCUUGGAUGCAAUUUGCCAAUAUUUGGUCUAAGAUUUUUGCAUUAUGUUAAUGACUGGAAAUGAGUCUUAAUUUUCCUUUAUUUUUCUGGCUUCUUUGUGUUUCGAUAUCAAGAAUAUGCAAGUCUCAUGCAAUAAAUUCUAUGGAAGAGUU